rnacentral:rRNA from 1 species
UGGGGAAUAUUGGACAAUGGGCGAAAGCCUGAUCCAGCCAUGCCGCGUGUGUGAAGAAGGUCGUCGGAUUGUAAAGCACUUUAAGUUGGGAGGAAGGGCAGUAAGCGAAUACCUUGCUGUUUUGACGUUACCGACAGAAUAAGCACCGGCUAACUCUGUGCCAGCAGCCGCGGUAAUACAGAGGGUGCAAGAGUUAAUCGGAAUUACUGGGCGUAAAGCGCGCGUAGGUGGUUCGUUAAGUUGAAUGUGAAAGCCCCGGGCUCAACCUGAGAACUGCAUCCACAACUGGCGAGCUAGUGUAGGGCAGAGGGUGGUGGAAUUUCCUGUGUAGCGGUGAAAUGCGUAGAUUUAAGAAGGAACACCAGUAGCGAAGGCGACCACCUGCGCUCAUACUGACACUGAGGUGCGAAAGCGUGGGGAGCAAACAGG